AUGGCCACCGUGACCUCCUCGUCUCCCUCGUGCCCCAAGCCCAAGGCCGCCAAGCCGGCGAGGUACUGCCUGUGCGCGCCGACGACGCACCCGGGCUCGUUCCGGUGCAGGCUGCACCGCCCGACGGCGGCCAAGGCGGCGGCGGCGCCUUCUUCGGAGCCUGAGGCGGCCAAGGAAUCGGCUGAGAGGAAGGAGGCGGCGGCGGCCGCCGCGCGCGCAUUGCACCGGCGGGUGGCGCGGGCGCCCUGGCGGGACGCUGGGAGGAUCAAGGGAUUUCAGCCUGGGCCUUCCAGGCUACGGAUCAUGGACCGGACGGGUGAGUCGGUGCAGACUGCAGAGGACGUAGCCUCCGUCUCCGUCACAUGA
rnacentral:rRNA from 1 species